rnacentral:hammerhead_ribozyme from 1 species
GUUCAGUUGACGAGGCCCAAAUAGGACGAAAUGCACAUCCUGGAU